rnacentral:rRNA from 1 species
UGGGGAAUAUUGGACAAUGGGCGCAAGCCUGAUCCAGCAAUGCCGCGUGAGUGAUGAAGGCCUUAGGGUUGUAAAGCUCUUUCGCACGCGACGAUGAUGACGGUAGCGUGAGAAGAAGCCCCGGCUAACUUCGUGCCAGCAGCCGCGGUAAUACGAAGGGGGCUAGCGUUGUUCGGAAUUACUGGGCGUAAAGGGCGCGUAGGCGGCCUGUUUAGUCAGAAGUGAAAGCCCCGGGCUCAACCUGGGAAUAGCUUUUGAUACUGGCAGGCUUGAGUUCCGGAGAGGAUGGUGGAAUUCCCAGUGUAGAGGUGAAAUUCGUAGAUAUUGGGAGGAACACCGGUGGCGAAGGCGGCCAUCUGGACGGACACUGACGCUGAGGCGCGAAAAGCGUGGGGAGCAAACAGGAUUAGAUACCCUGGUAGUCCACGCCGUAAAACGAUAAAUGCUAGACGUCGGGGUGCAUGCACUUCGGUGUCGCCGCUAAACGCAUUAAAGCA